rnacentral:rRNA from 1 species
CUACGGGACGCUGCAGUGAGGAAUUUUGCGCAAUGGGGGGAACCCUGACGCAGCAACGCCGUGUGAGUGAAGAAGGCCUUUGGGUCGUAAAGCUCUGUCAACUGGGAAGAAGUUACUAUGCUUAAAUAGAGUGUAGUAUUGACGGUACCAGUGGAGGAAGCGUCGGCUAACUCCGUGCCAGCAGCCGCGGUAACACGGGGGACGCAUGCGUUAUUCGGAAUUAUUGGGCGUAAAGGGCGCGUAGGCGGUCUUGUCGGUCAGGUGUGAAAGCCCGGGGCUCAACCCCGGACGUGCACUUGAAACAGCAAGACUUGAGUACGGGAGAGGAAAGCGGAAUUCCUGGUGUAGAGGUGAAAUUCGUAGAUAUCAGGAGGAACACCGAUGGCGAAGGCAGCUUUCUGGACCGAAACUGACGCUGAGGCGCGAAGGCGUGGGUAGCGAACGGGAUUAGAUACCCCGGUAGUC